rnacentral:lncRNA from 1 species
GGGGAGUAUCAUUUAUAUACCAAUCAUGGAUGCUAUUAGCCGAGGAAGUUAGUCAUGAACAUGCGGAAAUUAAUCAAGGGGACAUCAUUUACAUCGCAAUUGAAAUAGUCUCAUGUCGCAAUUAAAACAAAGUAAAGUAAGUACAUAUUCAUAUCAGAAAACAACAAAAAAAUAUUAAAGGUCAAUUGGAUCACAAGAAUUGGAACCAACACGGACAUCCUUUUUGUUGUGGACCAUUUGUUCCUUCAUUAGUUUACUAAAUGUGGCUUGUUGAACAGCAAAAUAUGACUCCCAAACAAUAGCUUCUUGUGAACAAUGUUGCUUCCAUUGAAUACACGUUGGAGGUAUCGGACAACCAUCCUUCAACUUGACAUAGACAUAAUGACCGGGAAUAGCUCCAAGAUAAAUAAUCAGCGAAUAAGGUGUUGGUUAAUGUCUGUGAGGAAAUAUUAUGGUUCAAACAUACAUCAUACCAGUCCCUUGGCUUGACACAUAGUAACCAACACUUGGCAAAACAGAGUUGGGUCCAUUCUUGCAAAGCAAAGGCAACCCCAAAAUUGAACCUUGCCACCAU